rnacentral:rRNA from 1 species
UACGGAGGGUGCAAGCGUUAUCCGGAUUUACUGGGUUUAAAGGGUGUGUAGGCGGGCUUUUAAGUCAGUGGUGAAAUCUCCGGGCUCAACCUGGAAACUGCCAUUGAUACUAUUAGUCUUGAAUUUUGUUGAGGUAGGCGGAAUAAGUCAUGUAGCGGUGAAAUGCAUAGAUAUGACUUAGAACACCAAUUGCGAAGGCAGCUUGCUAAACAAAUAUUGACGCUGAGGCACGAAAGCGUGGGGAGUCAAACAGG